rnacentral:rRNA from 1 species
AUACGGAGGGGGUUAGCGUUGUUCGGAAUUACUGGGCGUAAAGCGUACGUAGGCGGACUGGAAAGUUGGGGGUGAAAUCCCGGGGCUCAACCCCGGAACUGCCUCCAAAACUUCCAAUCUAGAGAUCGAGAGAGGUGAGUGGAAUUCCAAGUGUAGGGGUGAAAUUCGUAGAUAUUUGGAGGAACACCAGUGGCGAAGGCGGCUCACUGGCUCGAUUCUGACGCUGAGGUACGAAAGCGUGGGGAGCAAACAGGAUUAGAAACCCUAGUAGUCC